UUUCCGCCAGAGAACUACAAGUGAAAAACUUGAAACUCAAAGGACUUGACGGUGUUCCAUAUCGACCUAGAGGAGCCUGUCCUAUAAUCGAUACUCCCCGCUCCACCCAACCACAACUAGCAUAACAUCAGCCUAUAUACCGCCGUCGACAGCCUACCCUGUGAAGGUCUAACAGUAGACACAAUAGUCCUAUCACUAAUACGUCAGGUCAAGGUGUAGCAAAUGUUGUGGAAGAGAUUGGCUACAUUUUUUAUUAUAAAAAAUACGAAAAAUACUAUGAAACAGUAUAUGAAGGUGAAUUUAGUAGUAAAAUAGACAAGAGUGUCCAUUUUAACAACGCUCUGGAACGCGUACACACCGCCC
rnacentral:rRNA from 1 species